AAUUAAAUAAUCUAAGAAAGAUAGUUAUUUUGAAAAUAACCUAAAGAAGUUUGAUUCUUCUAUUAAUUU
rnacentral:tRNA from 1 species